rnacentral:rRNA from 1 species
UGGGACAAGCUCAAUGAAAUCGCCUUAGGCAUUGCCAGGGGGAUCAACUACCUGCAUCAAGGAUGUGACAUGCAGAUUCUGCACUUUGACAUCAAGCUGCACAACAUCCUUCUUGACAUCGAUUUCAUCCCAAAGGUUGCCGACUUCGGCCUUGCCAAGCUAUACCCAAGGGACAACAACUUUGUGCCGUUGAGCGCCCUGCGGGGAACCAUCGGGUACAUAGCUCCUGAGAUGAUAUCCCGCAGCUUCGGCGUCAUAUCGAACAAGUCUGACGUUUACAGCUUCGGGAUGCUGAUGCUGGAGAUGGCAGGAGGGCGGAGGAACGCUGACCCGGACGCAGCAGCGAACUCAAGCCGGGCAUUCUACCCAUCCUGGGUGUAUGAACGGCUUAGCAAACAGGAUCUGGGCGAGAUAUCUGUUGAGAUGCACGAGUUGGAGAGGAAACUGUGCCUUGUUGGGCUAUGUUGCAUCCAGGUUCAGUGUCACGAUCGGCCAGCGAUGAGCGAAGUCAUAGAGAUGCUCGAAGGCAGCGUGGAUGGCCUGCAGUUGCCCUCAAGGCCUUUCUUCUGUGACGAUGGGCACACCCCUGUAGUGGGGUCCUACCAUUUCUGCUCUGAGCUGAAUGGCGUUUCAGAAGAGGAUGACUGA